rnacentral:rRNA from 1 species
GAUGAACGCUGGCGGCGUGCCUAAUACAUGCAAGUCGAGCGAACAGAUGAGGAGCUUGCUCCUCUGACGUUAGCGGCGGACGGGUGAGUAACACGUGGAUAACCUACCUAUAAGACUGGGAUAACUUCGGGAAACCGGAGCUAAUACCGGAUAAUAUAUUGAACCGCAUGGUUCAAUAGUGAAAGACGGUUUUGCUGUCACUUAUAGAUGGAUCCGCGCCGCAUUAGCUAGUUGGUAAGGUAACGGCUUACCAAGGCAACGAUGCGUAGCCGACCUGAGAGGGUGAUCCGCCACACGGGAGCUGGGACGCGGUCCCGACUCCUAAGGGAGGCAGCGGUAGGAAAUCUACCGCAAUGGGCGAAAGCCAAACGUAGAAACGCCGCGUAAGUGAGAAAGGUCUACGGCUCGUAAAACUCUGUUAUUAGGGAAGAAUAAAUGUGUAAGUACCGAUGCAAGUCUUACCGGUACCGAAUAAGAAGACCCGGGUAACUCCCGU